AGGUGCCUUGAGAAGUUCAUAUUUUUCCGACAAUUUGAGAUAAGGGAAACCGGACGUUGUAAUUUGGUGUGAAUGCCCGCUGCGCGUGGGAAUCCUAAAAAUUUACACAGGUUACCCACCUGUAUAUACAGGGAAAAGAUCUCGCUUCUCAGGGCACCGU
rnacentral:other from 1 species